GUGCUUGCUUCGGCAGCACAUGUACUAAAAUUGGAACAAUACAGAGAAGUUUAGCAUGGCCCCUGUAUAAGGAUGACAUGCAAAUUCAUAAAGCGCUCCAUAAGAAAUUUUU
ensembl:snRNA U6 U6 spliceosomal RNA